AGCCCACUGUGCGGACUGAGCUGAUGGGGCAGAUCCCUCCUCCCAGUACAUCCUGCCUGGUGGAGCACGGUACCUUGAGGAUCCAGACAACCAGAUAGCAACAUUUUCUGAGCUCUGCUCAGAUAACAUGAAGAAAGCGUGUUCAGACUGCUUCACAGCUGUGUCCCACACUUCCCCCUGUGCUCUCAACUGUGUGCAUCAAACUCCUCAGUGAUCCCCAUCGAUCGGUGUGUCAGGCCGCCUUCCAGUCGUUCUGCCCAAGCCAGGCUGCUCUCUACACUCUGGAGGAUGGCACCCUGAGCAUCAGGCCACCGAGCCAAGAAGUGGAGUCUAACUUUGCCUCUGGCUCACCCAGGCCCAGCAGCUGUAGUGCCACCUUAGCCGAGUGAGCUCUAGCCAGGAUGCUUGGCACCGCCAGCCCCCGUCACCUCAAGCAUCCACCUAGAAUCCAGCAACGAUCUCAUCUCCAGCUUUAGUAAUAGUGACCUUCUGGGCAAGAUGGAAGAUUAGAGCUUUAAUUAUGUAAAGAAGCAAAAAGUAAUUGCAAUAACGAUUUGGAAACAUGACUGCCGGGUUAUAAAUAAUGAAGCUACCACGUCUCCUCAGUUCAGAUAAAAUAUUCAUUCAGGGUGGUGAUUAAAUAACCUGUAAAGAAAAUUGUCUCUUUCUCCUUGAUUAAUGAAGUUCUUCAGAGAAUUUACACAGGAAAAAAGGUGAAGUCUUCCAGAUGUGCGUUUGUGACACAGGACAUUCUUAUUAUACCAAGGCUUGUCUCUGUGUGCUGUCUUGACCCUCAGUUCCUUUCUAGCGUGGUGGUUGAUCUUGUGUUUGUCAUGCCUGCCCUCUGAGGAUGGCA
rnacentral:lncRNA from 1 species